AGCGAACGCUUUCUUCCGGCCUAACACAUGCAAGUCGAACGAACCUUUCGGGGUUAGUGGCGGACGGGUGAGUAACACGUGGGAACGUGCCUUUAGGUUCGGAAUAACUCAGGGAAACUUGUGCUAAUACCGAAUGUGCCCUUCGGGGGAAAGAUUAAUCGCCUUUAGAGCGGCCCGCGUCUGAUUAGCUAGUUGGUUGAGGUAAUGGCUCACCAAGGCGACGAUCAGUAGCUGGUCUGAGAGGAUGAUCAGCCACAUUGGGACUGAGACACGGCCCAAACUCCUACGGGAGGCAGCAGUGGGGAAUCUUGCGCAAUGGGCGAAAGCCUGACGCAGCCAUGCCGCGUGAAUGAUGAAGGUCUUAGGAUUGUAAAAUUCUUUCAACGGGGACGAUAAUGACGGUACCCGGAGAAGAAGCCCCGGCUAACUUCGUG
rnacentral:rRNA from 1 species